AUAAAACAUAAACAUGAUGUCAAAAUAUUCAUGACAAUACAUCAGUGUUGGUUCUUCAUUUUGCUUAUGGUGGGCGAAGGGGUACCAGGAGAUAGCGUAAACAAAUUAGGGGUACGGGGAGUCUAAAAGGUUGGGAACCAAUGGUCUAUAUGGUUCAUCUA